GACGAACGCUGGCGGCGUGCCUCAAACAUGCAAGUCGAGCGGGGAACUUUUAAAAGCGCAAGCUUUUAAAAGUUCCUAGCGGCGAACGGGUGAGUAACACGUGGGCAACCUACCCAGAAGACCGGGAUAACGGCUCGAAAGGGCCGCUAAUACCGGAUAAUGUCGGGGUACCGCAUGGUACUCCGAAGAAAGGGGAAACCCGCUUUUGGAUGGGCCCGCGUCCCAUCAGCUAGUUGGUGAGGUAACGGCUCACCAAGGCGACGACGGGUAGCCGGUCUGAGAGGAUGGUCGGCCACACUGGGACUGAGACACGGCCCAGACUCCUACGGGAGGCAGCAGUUGGGAAUCUUGGGCAAUGGGCGAAAGCCUGACCCAGCGACGCCGCGUGAGGGAAGAAGGCCUUCGGGUCGUAAACCUCUGUCAUGGGGAAGAAGCAAGUGACGGUACCCAACGAGGAAGGCCCCUCGCUAACUACGUGCCAGCAGCCGCGGUAAGUAUAGCGUACU
rnacentral:rRNA from 1 species